UGCCCUAGGCUUUGGGAUAACCCUCGGAAACGGGGGCUAAUACCGAAUAUGACCUGACAUCGCAUGGUGUUUGGUGGAAAGUUUUUCGGCCUGGGAUGGGCUCGCGGCCUAUCAGCUUGUUGGUGGGGUAAUGGCCUACCAAGGCGACGACGGGUAGCCGGCCUGAGAGGGCGACCGGCCACACUGGGACUGAGACACGGCCCAGACUCCUACGGGAGGCAGCAGUGGGGAAUAUUGCACAAUGGGCGGAAGCCUGAUGCAGCGACGCCGCGUGAGGGAUGACGGCCUUCGGGUUGUAAACCUCUUUCAGCAGGGACGAAGCGUAAGUGACGGUACCUGCAGAAGAAGCACCGGCCAACUACGUGCCAGCAGCCGCGGUAAGACGUAGGGUGCGAGCGUUGUCCGGAUUUAUUGGGCGUAAAGAGCUCGUAGGCGGCUUGUCGCGUCGACUGUGAAAACCCGCAGCUCAACUGCGGGCCUGCAGUCGAUAC
rnacentral:rRNA from 1 species